rnacentral:rRNA from 1 species
GAUGAACGCUGGCGGCGUGCCUAAUACAUGCAAGUCGAGCGAACGGACGAGAAGCUUGCUUCUCUGAUGUUAGCGGCGGACGGGUGAGUAACACGUGGAUAACCUACCUAUAAGACUGGGAUAACUUCGGGAAACCGGAGCUAAUACCGGAUGAUAUUUUGCACCGCAUGGUUCAAAAGUGAAAGACGGUCUUGCUGUCACUUAUAGAUGGAUCCGCGCUGCAUUAGCUAGUUGGUAAGGUAACGGCUUACCAAGGCAACGAUGCAUAGCCGACCUGAGAGGGUGAUCGGCCACACUGGAACUGAGACACGGUCCAGACUCCUACGGGAGGCAGCAGUAGGGAAUCUUCCGCAAUGGGCGAAAGCCUGACGGAGCAACGCCGCGUGAGUGAUGAAGGUCUUCGGAUCGUAAAACUCUGUUAUUAGGGAAGAACAUAUGUGUAAGUAACUGUGCACAUCUUGACGGUACCUAAUCAGAAAGCCACGGCUAACUACGUG